rnacentral:rRNA from 1 species
UACAGAGGGUGCGAGCGUUGUCCGGAAUCACUGGGCGUAAAGGGCGCGUAGGUGGCGUCGCAAGUCGAUGGUGAAAGCUCGGCGCUCAACGCCGAGUCGGCCCUUGAUACUGCGAGGCUGGAGCACUGUAGAGGCUAAUGGAAUUCCGGGUGUAGCGGUGGAAUGCGUAGAGAUCCGGAAGAACACCGGUGGCGAAGGCGGUUAGCUGGGGC